AUUGAACGCUGGCGGCAGGCCUAACACAUGCAAGUCGAGCGGAUGAAGGGAGCUUGCUCCUGGAUUCAGCGGCGGACGGGUGAGUAAUGCCUAGGAAUCUGCCUGGUCGUGGGGGAUAACGUCCGUACACGGGCGCUAAUACCGCAUACGUCCUGAGGGAGAACGUGGGGGAUCUUCGGACCUCACGCUAUCAGCUGACCCUAGGUCGGAUUAGCUAGUUGGUGGGGUAAAGGCCUACCAAGGCGACGAUCCGUAACUGGGCUGAGAGGAUGAUCAGUCACACUGGAACUGAGACACGGUCCAGACUCCUACGGGAGGCAGCAGUGGGGAAUAUUGGGCAAUGGGCGAAAGCCUGACCCAGCCAUGCCGCGUGAGUGAAGAAGGUCUUCGGAUUGUAAAGCACUUUAAGUUGGGAGGAAGGGCAGUAAGUGAAUACCUUGCUGUUUUGACGUUACCAACAGAAUAAGCACCGGCUAACUUCGUG
rnacentral:rRNA from 1 species